rnacentral:tRNA from 1 species
GGAGAGGUGGCAGAGUUGGUCGAUUGCGUUUGAUUUGA